UAUAUCGAUCCAUUUAUUGCAUUUAAGUGAAAAAGAAAAGGAAAGUCACUUCGGAUGUUUGCGUCUUACAGUUUUAUAUAUUCCGUAUUGAUAUUAAUAUUCCAGGAGCUGAUCAUUCUAGUUGUUAACUAUAAUUUUUCAGUGGAUUCGUGAAUAAUUUUAUACAAUAACAUCACUAAUGUUUACGAUAAAUCAUCCGUAGCGAAACAGUAAAUUUAACUUGAUAACAAAAGUGUAUAAAAAAUUCGAAAUUCUUGUCUUAUCAUACUUUUAUUUAUCUGUUUUGCUUUUAGUAGUUCUUUAAUCAAAAAUUGUCAGAAUGAGUGAUGGAAGAGAGCAGAAAUUAAAAGAGAAGAACAGAAAGAUGUCAUCCGACAAACAGUAAUUUUUUUAUAAAUAAGAGUGAAAGCAGUAUUUUGAGCGGAAACUUCAAAUAUAAGUCUUAAUACAAUGCAAUCUGAAGAAAAAGAGACCGAUAAAUACUCUGCUGUUUGUGACAGCGUGGCUGAAGCGGAUUCAUCUGUAAGUCCAACAAUUGAAGAUUCGUCUCAGAGUCAAACGUCGAGUCCUAACGACGUCGAAAUAGUACAAACAAUCAAAAGUCUAAAUAAAGAUCCCGCUAUGGAUAAUUAAUAAUAACUUGAGGGAUAUUAUCUAUCUUCCAAAGAAAAAUGAAAAACAAUGAAGUGAAAGAUCGAAAUUGGUUAGUUUACUCUGAAGAUAACAGAUCUGUAUAUUGGGGACCGUGUUUGGCAUUUGGUCCAUUGGAGUGUAUAAUUCAAUUUGAGAACGGAAGAUUCAAUGACUGCAAAAAUGCAGAUCAUCGAGUAGCUCAGCAUGACAACUCUGUGCGUCAUAAAUCUAGUAUUCUUAGUUUGAAAGAUAGAAAUAAUAAGAUUGAUGAAGAAAUAACUUACUGGAGAAACGUUCUGAUGAGAGUUGUUGCUGUCGUAAAGCCAUUGUGUUCAAGAGGUUUCGCUUUUAGAGGGAAAAAUAAAAUUUGGAGAUCCACAUAAUGGAAAUUAUUGUAUGGUUUUGGAACUAUUAGCAGAAUUCGAUCCUUUUCUGGUUCAUCAUAUUGAAAGGUUUGGAAAUCAAGGAUCAGGGAGUACCAGUUACUUAUCGAACACCACUUGCGAUAAAUGUAUGCUCUUGAUGGGUCAGAAAGUUUUAAAGAAGAUUGGAGAUGAAAUAAAAAAAGCUAAAUAUUUUUCGCUAAUCAAUGAUUCAACACCAGAUAUAGCCCACAUAGAUAAACUCACGGUCGUUGUUAGAUACGUUUUGGAUUCUGGUGGGACAUAACGCUGAAGAAAUGUUUUCUGCCGUUAUUUUAGAACAAAAAACACUGGGUAUAAAUAUUGCAGACUGUCACGGACAGUCAUAUGAUAAUGCCGCGAACAUGUAUGGCGUGAGACCAAGCACCUUUGGUCUUUUACGUGCCUUGUUUUGUUGGAGGAAACGUUUCGUAAUGAUUUAGAGACAGACACAGUUCAGGAAUGCGUACACUUUCAAGCCUAUCUGUUCUCUGAAAGAAUUUUAAUAAAACCAAAAUCUGGAUCAUUGAAAAGUUUGUCUUCGUUUAUGCGACAACAAAAUUUAGAAAAUAUUUAAACUUGGAUAUAGCAUUUCGUAUUGCUUUAUGUACACCAGCAAAAAAUUGUUCUGGUGAGAGAAGUUGUUCUUGCUUGAAGAGAGUCAAGAACUAUCUACGAUCGACUUUAAGUCAAGAAAAGCUAAACACUUUGAUUCUUUUAUGUAUAGAGUCAGAACUAAUCAACAAGAUUUCAUUCGACGACAUAAUCAAUGAUUUUGCGAAUUCAAAGUCCCACAAAAAGUAAUUGUAAUGCUUUUAUAAUUUAACCUUAUUUUUAAUACUAACAGAUAAUUAAAAAAGUAGAAUUAUUAUUAUGUUCUUAGAUUGUAAUUGUAACACAAAAUAUUUAUCAACG